UUAUAUUAUAGUAAAAAGUUUUAGAUAAACUCGGCUUGCUUCAAAAACCUUCAUCCUAAUUCAAAAUGAUGAACAAAAUCUUAUUACUGACCUUGAUGUUGGCUGUUACGUCAAUGCUGAUCCUGAACGUAGAAGGACUCUGCAGACCUGCGUGUCCGUCUGGUUUAGUAUGCGUUGGAAUCCGAUGUAUGGAACGAUGAUAAAGAUUCAUCACUACGUACAAGAUAUUUCAUCGGACUUCAUAAUCAAGGAACGACACGACAUAUUAAAGUGCUUAUAAACGAAUUAUAAUUUAAUAAAUAUAAAUCAAAA